rnacentral:piRNA from 1 species
UGGGGCUCAGACUUGUGUGCACAAAGA